UACAGAGGUCUCAAGCGUUGUUCGGAUUCAUUGGGCGUAAAGGGCGCGUAGGCGGCGGGGUAAGUCUGGUGUGAAAUCUCGGAGCUCAACUCCGAAAUUGCACUGGAUACUGCUCUGCUAGAGGGCUGGAGAGGAGAUCGGAAUUCACGGUGUAGCAGUGAAAUGCGUAGAUAUCGUGAGGAAGACCAGUGGCGAAGGCGGAUCUCUGGGCAGCUCCUGACGCUGAGGCGCGAAGGCUAGGGGAGCAAACGGG
rnacentral:rRNA from 1 species